UACGGGGGGGGCAAGCGUUGUUCGGAAUUACUGGGCGUAAAGGGCUCGUAGGUGGCCAACUAAGUCGGACGUGAAAUCCCUCAGCUUAACUGGGGAACUGCGUCCGAUACUGGAUGGCUUGAGUUUGGGAGAGGGAUGCGGAAUUCCAGGUGUAGCGGUGAAAUGCGCAGAUAUCAGGAGGAACACCGGUGGCGAAGGCGGUGGUCUGGGCCGGCACUGACGCUGAGGAGCGAAAGCGUGGGUAGCAAACAGG
rnacentral:rRNA from 1 species